GUUCCUGGUAAAGAGGUCUGCCUCAAGGCACUUGAUGAAUCACAACUAGCACUUGGCAGUCGCAACUGGAAGGAUGUAAAGAACCACCAAAAAGGAGGCAAAAUGAUCCAAAUUACAUAUAUUUUAAAAGAUUCCAGUCCUUCAACCUUCAAUUUGAACAGUCCAGCGACUCCUGAGGACUCAGGCCUGCCUGUGUCAGGGCAGCCCUAAUGAAACUAGACAGAACCUUGAUGCCAUUAAUUCUGCAUUAAGCCAUGGCAUUACAUCUCAGGACCCUGAGAUCUUGGAGGAAUUUGGCAUACCACUGAAUGAUCCAGUACAACUGGAAUAAGCUUCAGCAAAGCUGAGGGACCAGAAAUAAA